AGAGGAGCCUGGCAGGCUACAGUUCAUGGGGUCACAAAAAGUUGGACACAACUGAGCACAUACACACAUCCCAACUUCCUGCCCUUAGACUUAUCACCGAUCAUGGGUAUUUUUAUGUGUUUGCUGAUGUCUGCUGAUGUCUCUACCACUAAGUUGAGACCCAACAGACUCUAGGCUUCCUCAUUUCCUACUACAUCCACAGCACUUAGAAUGGUCUCUGGCAUACAGUAGGUAUUCAUAAUUAAUCUUGACUGUAUUUAUAAGAGAAUCAAUCCACACAGAUUGGACGUGAAAAAGCAGAAGAAACCCUUCAGGAAAGAGAUGCAGCUGUGGGCUGGAUCCUGUGAGCCAAGUUUGGUCUUCAUCUUUAGAGAAAUAAGCAUCAAUGCAGCAAAUGCUCAUGAGGCUGGCAUUCCAAUGAACAGUGCGAAUGGGAGGUAAAAAGUUUCAGCCAACAAUUUCUUUUACCAUAGUAAGAGCUGAGUAAAACCAACCUACAUACAGUUUCAGGAAACUGCUAGUAGAUUGUGAGCCUUUGGAAGGGAUUUAUUGUUUCCUGGAAGUCCAGAGCCUACUUAAUUAUGGGGAAAAGUUCACUAAUAUUGCUGAACUAAAUGACAGCUAUAAUUCAGAACAGUCACUUUAAAGUUUACAGCCUGUGGUCCAACUGGGAGCACCUGUACCACUCCGGGUCAGAGCCCUGUCUUGUCUAAGGUUCAUGGCUCCGGGAGAGAGAAAGGUCACUUGCAGUUGGGAAAUGAGACAGGGCUCAUGGGAACACACACACAGAUACUUCCCACCCCGAGCUUCAGAAACAGGGUGCAAAGCAGCUUUUAAAAACAAACAAGAACAAGUGCUGAGUGGGGAAGGGGUGGCAUUUAAACACUUGUGUAUGUGAAUUACAAUCUCGACUUUCCAACUGAUACUGGCUUCAAUUUUAAGCACUUUCUUCAUUUCCCGCAAGUAACCAUCAGUUACCACCAGCAGCACACAGUUCCUUCUGUGUCAGAUCUAAAGCUCAGUGAUUCUUAUAAAAAGCCAGCAGUCCCUUUUGAUGUUACAGAGAAGAAUUGAGGGCAAAGGACUGGAGUUGGCUUACACUCAUACGGUUUUUUCACACAGAGAACAAAACCACCAGAGCAUAAACCCCAGUUUUUGUUGAAGGUAAUUAAAUGCAAACACACUUCAGCAAAAUCUCUAAGAUCCAAGCUUGAAACCCUUUUAUUCUAUUACUCUUCACUACAUCCUCUUAGCCUGAUGACUGAAACCUGGAAGCAGCUGUCCCUGCCAUUAGUGAGGGUUACUGAGAGUCCAGCUGUAAUUCCAUCCUUCUUUUCUGACUCUAAGUUAUAUCCCAAAGGGAAAUAUGUCAUGCUUGUAGGGCUCACAUGAUAAUGCCUUAUCCCAUCAAGUUUCAAUGGUCUUAUAAUGGAGAAAAGCAGUGGCAAGGAUUAUUUGAAACAAGGGAUAAUCCUAAAUGACAUAUUUAGAAAUCCUGAAUUUUUUUUUUUUUUAAUAGCUCUGACCUCCCCAAUACAUUUAAAAUCAGCUUGCUUCUCUGGCAGACAGCAGGGGGCAGCAGAUCGGAGUCGGCUCUCCGUGAGAGCAGUUUCAAAGAUGGAAAAUUUACUGCAGAAAAAUCCUCAAAGUGCUUAAAUCUAACAAAUAUGGGAAACGUAAGAGCUGAUUCCUCAUUAAAGAAAUUUUUUUUUAAAAAAGAACUAAAUUAAACAUAAAGAGUUUUGCAUUUAUUUUCAGCUCAUAUUCUAGUCUAUAUUAGGUUGAACCUCAUGAAAUUGCCACUGUUUUUGUAUGGAAGCAAAGCUAUUAAAUAUUGGCAGUUUCCAAGGGUUAAAGCAAAUAUUUGGAACAGAACUUAGAUAUAGAAGUUCUCUUCAAGUAGACCUGAAGAAGAUCACAUGUUCACAGGCAGCAGUAGACCUAGUUUCGGAGAGAUGGUGAUGAGUCCCUGUGGAGAGUGAGGCCACGUCCUGUCUGGGUGCCACCUCUGCCUCUCCCCUGCUCCCCACAACUGGGAUCAUGGGUAUCCCCCAGGCCCCCGUCCGUGGCACUUGUUCUUAAAUCAAGCACUUCAGCUUCUGUCACACUUCCGUCUCUCAUCUUGUGGAUAUUCACCUUGCUGUCCCAGUCACUCUCUGCUCACAGACCAGGACUCAGCCUCAGCUAAAACCACAGACUCCACGGCGCUCACCUUCAUUUCAGACCUCUCACUGGGAAAAUAAAGUUUCUGUGUCUGAGUUGCUGAGCCUCGAGUGAGUUCUUCUUCGUUUGUUCUGUAGGUGGUUCUCAAAGUGUGGCCCAUGGCCUGGACCAGAAACAUGAGCAUCACCUGAGAACUUGUUUACAAAGCAGAUUCUUGGCUUGAACCUACUGAAUCAAAUAUUCUGGGGGUAGGGUCCAAGAAUGUGAGCUUUAACAAGCCCCGGGAGUGAUCUGAAUGUGUGCUGACGUUGAGAACUACUGCAGCGAGUGAGUGAUAGUUGCUCAGUUGUGUCCGACUCCCUGCCACCCCAUGGACUGCAUCCUACCAGGCUCCUCUGAGAACUAUUGGAUUAGCUCACAAAACCCAGUUUCUCCUCUGGUCUUUGUUUUUUGUUACCAAUGGCCUUUACAAUCUUUUUUUUUUUUUUCCUAGACAGUUUCUAAUUUCCUUUUCAGUAGCUUAAAAGUUCAAGCCUGAAUCCCAGGCUUGUAGCUGGAUUCCUGUUAUCCAUGAAAUGACUUCUCAGUUGCCAAAUGUCACCCUCCUGGGAUGCUGAUAUCAUCUACUCUGAGUUGCAAAAUGUUAGCUUCUGCCCAUUGGUUGAAACCCAGGAAGCUGGCCAUUAGUUCAACUGCAACUGGGUUUGUGGUGAACGUGAACAUGGUGCUUUGCCAGCCUGAAUGAGUCUCCUCUGGAUGGGCUUUACCCCCAGUUCUGCUUUGCCUUGGUUGGCAGAUAUGGUACUGCAUCUGGUCCUUCUUGAACUUAGGAUCAAAUGGCUAUCUUAGGUUUCACCUAUGGUAAAUGCUUUCUAGGUUGUUUAUAUUUGAACAAUUAAGAGGCAAUGUUAGGAUCCAUUAUUCAAAGAGGAUAUCUUAAUUCUAAAAGAGGUUCCAAUUUUUCCUUUUUUUUCCCCUAACACAUUGCUCAGAACUUUCAUCAUUUUCAUCUGUAUUGUGAAAUGGGGGAAAGGGGAAAUGUUGUCUCAUACAAAUGAGAGUUUUGAAAAGAAAUCAUAUUAUUUAAGCACAACGUCCACUUUUCUUUCAGACAACAUUUGCUUUCUUAUUUGUUCAUUUUCCCACUGGACACUGGGCUCCUUGGAAGGAAAUUUUUUCUAGUUGAUUCUUGUAUUUCUAGCACUAGCCUGUAAGAUGGCAGAUGCUCAAUGAAUAUUUGAGAAAUGAUUGAAUGGAAAAACACAUACACAUACACAUGCACUCUCAAAUGCAAAAAUAAAAGACCUACUUCUCCCAAUUGUCUAGAUUAUUACAUGUUAUUGAAACAAAAAUGGACUGUUUGCAUUUGACCAAGAUCUAAGCUCAAUAUCUAUCAUCAUGCUCCAGAUGGGGAGCUAGAGCUGACUUAGUGCUAGGAUUGGAUAUUUGUCAGUAAAGGGGCCAGCAAAGCUACUGUCUUUAGAAUGUAUAUCAUCAUCACGUCUUAGGCUGUCAAGACCUCAAGGAGCUCCUUUCAUUUUUUUUGGAGGAGGAAAGUGAAGCCUAUAGGGGUGAAGUCAAUUUUAUAAGGUCACCAAGUUGGUUGGUGGCAAAACCUAGAACAGAAUCCUGACUUCCUGACUGUUAAUUCUUCUCCCAAUCUGCUUUAGAGAUCAUGUCUGGCAUAUAUUUAUAAUGAUAGAAUCACACUGAAAAGGAUGAUUUUUCUCCCCAAAUACUUUUUUUCAAGAUUAUAAAUAUCUUUAAAAAUGACAAGAUGCCUGAAGCCGUAUGCUCUGAUGUAUUUAAAUUAUUCUUAUCUGUUUCUUUUAAGAGAAGCUCGCUGUGUGUUUUUCUCCUAACGAGGCUCAAAAAAGUGUCGUUUCCAAGCUUAUAAAUUAAAAGUUCCUUGGAUACAGCACGGUCCAAUUAACUCAAAUGCUAACCAGAGGGGUCCUGAGAUAUUCAGUUCAUUUUACAUGUACCCUGAACUCAAUUUUCUUUAGCUUCACUUGUAAUGAAAGAAACAGAAAUAAGAAUGAGAUGUCCAUUUCUGUCUAUCAGAUUGGCAAAGAUUAAAACAAGUGACACUCUCUUGGCUGGAGUACAGGUAAAGAAGAUUCAUGUUCUGAAUAUGGGAGGGGACCUGACAUAGUCUUUUUAUUUAUUUUUUAAAAUUUAUUUUUAAUUGGAGAAUAAUUGCUUUACAAGGUUGUGGUGGUUUCUGCCAUACAUCAACAUGAAUCAGCCAUAGGUAUACGUAUGUCCCCUUCUUCUUGAACCUCCCGCCCACUUCCCACCUCGUCCCAUUCCUCUCGGUUGUCACAGAGCACUAGA